rnacentral:rRNA from 1 species
CAGCCGCCACGGUAAUACAGAGGGUGCGAGCGUUAAUCGGAUUUACUGGGCGUAAAGCGUGCGUAGGCGGCUUCUUAAGUCGGAUGUGAAAUCCCUGAGCUUAACUUAGGAAUUGCAUUCGAUACUGGGAAGCUAGAGUAUGGGAGAGGAUGGUAGAAUUCCAGGUGUAGCGGUGAAAUGCGUAGAGAUCUGGAGGAAUACCGAUGGCAAAGGCAGCCAUCUGGCCUAAUACUGACGCUGAGGUACGAAAGCAUGGGGAGCAAACAGGAUUAGAUACCCCCGUAGUCCCUGUCUCUUAUAC